rnacentral:lncRNA from 1 species
GGACACCCGAGGAGGCCAUGGGAAGGCCCAUCCCUGUGGACUUGGGACCAGGUCCUCACUGAGGGUGUCCCAGGAGGCAGCACGUGCCAUCACUGGGGAUGGGCGCUCAGUGCAGGGUUCAGCCCUGCCUGGUGUGGACACCACCAGGUCCACUGUCCCUCCCAGCUGUCCUGCCCAGCUGUCCCAGCCCUGUCAUCUCCCCGUCCUCUGAGGUCACAGGGCAGGAGGCGUGGCCUCAAACCCAGGCCUGGAGAGGAGGGGCUCCCUGCACCUUAGAGACAGGAGGACCCCCUGCUCCCUAGAGAGAGAGGGGGCUCCCUGCACCCUAUAUAGAGAGGAGGGGGCUCCCCGCACCUUAGAGAGGAGGGGCUCCCCACACCCCAGAGACAGGAGGACCCCCUGCUCCCUAGAGAGGAGGGGUCCCUGCACCCUAGAGAGAGGAGGGCUCCCCGCACCACCACCUGGUUUUUCCCGUACCCCUUGGAGGUGACCAGGUCUCUGAGGACGGCGCAGGCGCCUGCUGUCCCUUCCUCUGAAGUGCCUCCGCCCCCCUGGCCAGGCCCCCCGGGGUCCUGGACAGCUCAGAUGGUCUUGGGCUGGGGUGUCUGGGUGGCUGCCUGCCCCUGGUCCCAAGGUUCGGUCCCCUCGGGCGCUCAAGGUAGCAGGGCUGCUGGCCCAGGGCCUCAGGGGCUCAGCAGGCCGGGUGCCCGCG